rnacentral:rRNA from 1 species
CCUACGGGUGGCAGCAGUGGGGAAUAUUGGGCAAUGGGCGCAAGCCUGACCCAGCAAUGCCGCGUGAAGGAAGAAGGCCCUCGGGUUGUAAACCUCUUUUAUCAAGGACGAAACAAAUGACGGUACUAGAUGAAUAAGCUACGGCUAACCACGUGCUAGCAGCCGCGGUAAUACGUAGGUGGCAAGCGUUAUCCGGAUGUACUGGGAGUAAAGGGCGUGUAGGCGGGACUGCAAGUCGGAUGUGAAAGCCAUGGGCUCAACCUAUGGCAUGCAUUUGAGACUGUAGUACUUGAGUGUGUGAGAGGGAGGCGGAAUUCCGAGUGUAGCAGUGAAAUGCGUAGAUAUACGGAAGAACA